GCUCAGAUUGAACGCUGGCGGCAGGCCUAACACAUGCAAGUCGAGCGGUAGAGAGAAGCUUGCUUCUCUUGAGAGCGGCGGACGGGUGAGUAAUGCCUAGGAAUCUGCCUGGUAGUGGGGGAUAACGUCCGGAAACGGACGCUAAUACCGCAUACGUCCUACGGGAGAAAGCAGGGGACCUUCGGGCCUUGCGCUAUCAGAUGAGCCUAGGUCGGAUUAGCUAGUUGGUGGGGUAAUGGCUCACCAAGGCGACGAUCCGUAACUGGUCUGAGAGGAUGAUCAGUCACACUGGAACUGAGACACGGUCCAGACUCCUACGGGAGGCAGCAGUGGGGAAUAUUGGACAAUGGGCGAAAGCCUGAUCCAGCCAUGCCGCGUGUGUGAAGAAGGUCUUCGGAUUGUAAAGCACUUUAAGUUGGGAGGAAGGGCAGUAAAUUAAUACUUUGCUGUUUUGACGUUACCGACAGAAUAAGCACCGGCUAACUCUGUGCCAGCAGCCGCGGUAAUACAGAGGGUGCAAGCGUUAAUCGGAAUUACUGGGCGUAAAGCGCGCGUAGGUGGUUCGUUAAGUUGGAUGUGAAAUCCCCGGGCUCAACCUGGGAACUGCAUUCAAAACUGACGAGCUAGAGUAUGGUAGAGGGUGGUGGAAUUUCCUGUGUAGCGGUGAAAUGCGUAGAUAUAGGAAGGAACACCAGUGGCGAAGGCGACCACCUGGACUGAUACUGACACUGAGGUGCGAAAGCGUGGGGAGCAAACAGGAUUAGAUACCCUGGUAGUCCACGCCGUAAACGAUGUCAACUAGCCGUUGGGAGCCUUGAGCUCUUAGUGGCGCAGCUAACGCAUUAAGUUGACCGCCUGGGGAGUACGGCCGCAAGGUUAAAACUCAAAUGAAUUGAGCGG
rnacentral:rRNA from 1 species